CCUUAGUUUUAGGGUGAAAGCAUUUUGGUCUUAUUUCUAAGAUGGCUCAUUUUGGUCUCACACUUUCUUCCUUUAUAAUAGCGAGAUGAUAUCUGAAAUUGUAUUCUGCUGUACUUUUAAUAUCUCCUUCCUGAAGACCAUCACUCCAUCCUUAUGAAUGAGACAGUGUCUGGCAGCUGCUCGAACAGCAUCAGAAGCAGCACAGAGCCAGCGCCAAUCCUCAGUGAGGCAGGGUAUUCCAGGAUAAGAGCACUGCUAAAAACCAACAAGCAUCACAUGACAGCAUCGCAGGAACAGCCUACAUGAGGAUCCAGAUUCAGUUUCCAGUAGUUAAGAAAAGAAAAGGAAAACAAAAGAAAACCUCCAAGUUGCUGGAAUCUUGGAAUGAACUGUGUAUUUUAACUGUUGGUACUUAGACAUUGUGACCCCCAUUAGUGAUUGUUGCAGCUUAAAUGUGAACGUCCCCUUGUAGUUUCACAUGUUUGAACCCUUGGUCCCAGCUGGUGGUGUGCUUUGGGAAGGCUAUGCGCUUUUAAGGGGUAGACCCUCUGGCAGGCCUUAAGGAGAUCCCACUUCCUGUUUUCUCUGUGCUUCCUGUGUGUGGAUGACCCGCCAGCCUCCUGGGGCCAUAUCUCUCCAGCCAUGAUGGAGUGCACCCUACUAGAACUGUAAGCAAAAAUAACCCCUUCUCCCUUAAAUUACCUUUGUGGGGUAUUUUAUCCCAGCAACAAAAAAAGUGGCCAAGACAAAGACCAAAUUAGGGAAGCUUCAAAUAAUUUCAAAAGGGCACAGCUUCAGUCUUAUGCCAGGUGCUGUCCCCAUGCGGAGAGCAAAUGCAGCCACUUUGUUUGUUCAGAACAGAACCUCUCUAAGAACCCACAUUGACCUGGAGUUCAACAUGCAGCCUAGGCUGACCGUAAGCCGGAGAUCCCAGCCUAAGCUCCCAGAUUCUAAGACUGCAAACCCAGUUUCAGGUCUGUUUUCUUGAUUAGUGUUUCUUUUAAAUGUAUUUGUUUUGGUUUUCACGUAAGAAUAGAUUGCACAUUGAGUAUAUCUCUUCAUUUUCUCCACCCUCUCCCCUCUCAUUGAUGCCCUGGAGCAGUGGUUCUCACCCUUCCCAAUGCUGUGACCCUUUAAUACAGUUCCUCAUGUUGUGGUGACCCCCAAACAUAAAAUAUUUUUGUUGCUACUUCAUAAUUGUAA